rnacentral:rRNA from 1 species
CACGUAGUUAGCCGGAGCUUAUUCCUCAGGUACCGUCAAAUUCCUCUUUCUUCCCUGAUAAAAGAACUUUACAUUACGAAUAACUUCUUCGUUCGCGCGGCGUUGCUCGGUCAGGGUUCCCCCCAUUGCCGAAAAUUCCCUACUGCUGCCUCCCGUAGGAGUAUGGACCGUUCUCAGUUCCAUUGUGGCCGUUCAACCUCUCAGUCCGGCUACGCAUCAUCGCCUUGGUAGGCCCUUACCCCACCAACUAGCUAAUGCGCCACAGGCCCCUCCUUAAGCAGAUCUCUCUUUUAAAUAUAAAAGAUUCUUCCUCUAUAUCCUAUCCAGUUUUAUCCAUCGUUUCCAAUGGCUAUCCUCGUCUUAAGGGUAGGUUACCUAUGUAUUACUCACCCGUUCGCCACUAAAGUACCCGAAGGUACUUCCGUUCGACUUGCAUGUAUUAGGCACGCCGCCAGCGUUAAUCCUGAGCCAGGAUCAAACUCU